UACGUAGGGGGCAAGUGUUGUCCGGAUUUAUUGGGCGUAAAGAGCGUGUAGGCGGCCAGGUAGGUCAGCUGUGAAAACUCGAGGCUCAACCUCGAGAUGUCGGCUGAAACCAUCUGGCUAGAGUCCGGAAGAGGAGAAUGGAAUUCCCGGUGUAGCGGUGAAAUGCGCAGAUAUCGGGAAGAACACCCGUGGCGAAGGCGGUUCUCUGGGACGGUACUGACGCUGAGACGCGAAAGCGUGGGGAGCGAACAGG
rnacentral:rRNA from 1 species